rnacentral:rRNA from 1 species
UAGUGAACCAGUACCGUGAGGGAAAGGUGAAAAGAACCCCGAACAGGGGAGUGAAAUAGAACCUGAAACCAUACGCUUACAACCGGUCGGAGCAGCUUCGUGCUGUGACGGCGUGCCUAUUGAAUAAUGAGCCUACGAGUUACUAAUCACUGGCGAGGUUAAGUGCACGGAUGCACGGAGCCGAAGCGAAAGCGAGUCUGAACAGGGCGGCUAGUCAGUGGUUGUAGACGCGAAACCUUGCGAUCUACCCUUGAGCAGGUUGAAGGUUGGGUAAAACCAACUGGAGGACCGAACGAAUAAGCGUUGAAAAGCUUCUCGAUGACUUGAGGGUAGGGGUGAAAGGCUAAUCAAGCUGGGAAAUAGCUCGUACUCCCCGAAAUGCCUUUAGGGGCAGCGUUGUAAUUAAGAGUCUACUGGAGGUAGAGCUACUGAUUGGAUGCGGGGGCUUCACCGCCUACCAAAUCCUGACAAACUCCGAAUGCCAGUAGUAUGAUUUACAGCAGUGAGCGACCGGGUGCUAAUGUCCGGUUACGAGAGUGGAACAACACAGACCAGCAACUAAGGUCCCGAAGAGUAUACUAAGUUGAUCUAACGAUGUUUUGCUGCAGAGACAGCUAGGAUGUUAGCUUGGAAGCAGCUAUUCAUUCAAAGAGUGCGUAACAGCUCACUAGUCGAGCGGCAAAGCGUGGAUAAUAAACGGGCAUCAAGUAUACCACCGAAGUUCUGGGCACGAAAGUGCGGUAGGGGAGCAUUCCAUUGACGUCGAAGCCAUUCCGCGAGGAUAGGUGGAGUUUAUGGAAAAGCAAAUGUAGGCAUGAGUAACGAUAAUGCGGGAGAGUAACCCGCACACCGCAAGACCAAGGUUUCCUGAUCAACGCUAAUCGGAUCAGGGUUAGUCGGGUCCUAAGGGUAAGCCGAACGGUGAUCUCGAUGGACAAUCGGUUAAUAUUCCGAUACUAACAUAUACCUCGAUGGAGAGACGAAGGAACGUAAGUGACGCCGCCUGACGGAAUAGGUGGUUAAAGGGCGUAGGUAUAGGGACAGAUUAAGAGUUAGUCCUUGCUGAAAUCCGACAGUACGGAGCGGCUACGGCCAAUCUGAUAGUUCACCCAAGUCGACUUCCGAGAAAAUCUUCUAAAGUUAUAGUAUAUGUUACCCGUACCGUAAACCGACACAGGUGGUCGAGGAGAGUAUCCUAAGGUGCUCGAGUGAAUCACGGUUAAGGAACUAGGCAAAUUAACCCCGUAACUUCGGGAAAAGGGGUCCCUACGCGAGUAGGGCGCAGCGAAGAGGUCCAGGCGACUGUUUAUCAAAAACACAGGGCUCUGCAAAUUCGAAAGAAGACGUAUAGGGCCUGACACCUGCCCGGUGCUGGAAGGUUAAGAGGGGAUGUCAUCGCAAGAGAAGCAUUGAAUCGAAGCCCCAGUAAACGGCGGCCGUAACUAUAACGGUCCUAAGGGAGCGAAAUUCCUUGUCGGGUAAGUUCCGACCUGCACGAAUGGUGUAACGAUCUGGGUACUGUCUCAACCGUGAGCUCGGUGAAAUUGUAGUCCCGGUGAUGAUGCCGGGUACCCGCAACGGGACGAAAAGACCCCGUGAACCUUUACUAUAGCUUAACGCUGAAUUUGGGUACACAAUGUGUAGGAUAGGCCGGAGACAUUGAAGCGGGUACGCCAGUAUUCGUGGAGUCAACGUUGAAAUACGGCCCUUUGUGUACUUGGAUUCUAACCCUUGAUAGGGGACACCGUUUGGUGGGUAGUUUGACUGGGGUGGUCGCCUCCAAAAGCGUAACGGAGGCUUCCCAAGGUACCCUCAGCACGAAUGGUAACCGUGCGCAGAGUGCAAUAGCAUAAGGGUGCUUGACUGUGAGACUUACAAGUCGACCAGGUGCGAAAGCAGGGUAUAGUGAUCCGGUGGUUCUGUGUGGACUGGCCAUCGCUCAAAGGAUAAAAGGUACUCCGGGGAUAACAG